UAAAUAUAGAGGCAAUAUUAAAGUUAAAGAUAACAUAAAGAGUAUUUGAACAGAUUUAAAAAAGUAGGAUAUGUAUAGAAAUUAUAGUAAAAUCUUGAAAAAAUAUGUAGAAAUGGCAUUUGUACAUAUUUGAUUAAUCAAGACAUAAUGUAGAGUUUACAAAAUAAAAUAAUAACACUCAUCCUAGCAUUUUACUUUAGCUCUCAUAGAGAGCUAAAAUGUUCAUGAGUAUCAAGCAGAACAGGAAUUGACUGCAUCAACUGAACUAAUAGAAGAAUAAGGUAAUCUUUUUGACUUUUUGCUUAAAACAUUGCUGAUCCUUUGUUUUGUUAUUUUCAGAGGCAAGACAACUUUUCUUUCGAGCUAUUAACAGCUUUUAAUAAUUUACUAUACUCCUCUGAACAAAAUUUGGAACAUAUUUGUUUCUCUCUACCUAAUUUCCCCAGAAUUUGGAAGCUAUUUUUUGGACAAAAUUCUAAUUUUUCUAAGCUACAAGUCUGCAAAAUGAUGUAUCGAUGUUUUUUUCAUUUUUUCUAAUUUGGAGUCACCAAAAACUAAGGUAUGUUUUCAUAAAGCCCUGUGAACUGAAGCUAAACAAUUUAAAUUUCAGAAGAAAAUAACAGCAACCUAUUUAUAUACAUAAGCCACUUUCAUACCUGCCUACUAAUGUAUGAACUUCAGAGUUAUGUGGUCUAUAUGCAUUUUCCAGGAUUGUUCUUUUGUUUGUUGUUGUUUUUCUCCCUUCCUCCUUCUAUUUUCUCUUCAUAGGACAUGAGAAUUCACAACCUGCUAAAAAUGAGCUUUGUUAAUAA
rnacentral:lncRNA from 1 species